UCAGAGAAAAUUGGUGAACAGUCACUUUAAUUGUAUGAAGUAGCAGAGUUUUGGCCCAAAUUUAGCUUACCCGUGCUGUUCACUUACCCCUUUUUUAUAGAUGAGGUUAUCAGAACUGUCGGAUGUGGUCCCGCAUUUUAUGACACUAAAUCAUUGGGCCAUAAUCACGUAGUGGGUCAUUAAUUCUCAGUAAUGGCAUCGUGAUAUACGACCGAUAACUGUUCAUGACGGUUAUGGUAUGUGGAGUUGAUUACCGACCAUAUGUCGGUAUAACCAACUAUAUGUCGGUAGAAUCUAUGAAUGACCGUCGGCUAUCAG
rnacentral:lncRNA from 1 species